CUGGCUCAGGAUGAACGCUGGCGGCGUGCCUAACACAUGCAAGUCGAGCGAUCUCUUCGGAGAGAGCGGCGGACGGGUGAGUAACGCGUGGGUAACCUGCCCUGUACACACGGAUAACAUACCGAAAGGUAUACUAAUACGGGAUAACAUACGAAAGUCGCAUGGCUUUUGUAUCAAAGCUCCGGCGGUACAGGAUGGACCCGCGUCUGAUUAGCUAGUUGGUAAGGUAAUGGCUUACCAAGGCAACGAUCAGUAGCCGACCUGAGAGGGUGAUCGGCCACACUGGAACUGAGACACGGUCCAGACUCCUACGGGAGGCAGCAGUGGGGAAUAUUGCACAAUGGGCGAAAGCCUGAUGCAGCAACGCCGCGUGAGCGAUGAAGGCCUUCGGGUCGUAAAGCUCUGUCCUCAAGGAAGAUAAUGACGGUACUUGAGGAGGAAGCCCCGGCUAACUACGUGCCAGCAGCCGCGGUAAUACGUAGGGGGCUAGCGUUAUCCGGAAUUACUGGGCGUAAAGGGUGCGUAGGUGGUUUUUUAAGUCAGAAGUGAAAGGCUACGGCUCAACCGUAGUAAGCUUUUGAAACUAGAGAACUUGAGUGCAGGAGAGGAGAGUAGAAUUCCUAGUGUAGCGGUGAAAUGCGUAGAUAUUAGGAGGAAUACCAGUAGCGAAGGCGGCUCUCUGGACUGUAACUGACACUGAGGCACGAAAGCGUGGGGAGCAAACAGGAUUAGAUACCCUGGUAGUCCACGCCGUAAACGAUGAGUACUAGGUGUCGGGGGUUACCCCCCUCGGUGCCGCAGCUAACGCAUUAAGUACUCCGCCUGGGAAGUACGCUCGCA
rnacentral:rRNA from 1 species